GCAUCCAUUAUUAUUCAGAAACUACAAAAGGAGACGAAAGGGGAAGAAGGCCCACCAGAGACCAUUUUGGCAAUAUUUUCGACUGUGACUUUGGAGUUCCGUUUCCAUACUCCAUUGUGCUUCGUCAGUUUACCUUCAGAUUUCGGCGUCCUUCAGGAAAGUCACAACAUAAUGAGAUUCACUUCUGAAGGCUACGGGCAGACAAACAAAAUUGAUCGCGGGACUGGGAUUGGACAGUGGGAGCAAGAAAGGGAGAUUGAUUGAUGAUUCAUUAUCAAUUUGAGGUUGGUAAUGCGUCGGGUUGGAGGACAUCGUCAGGAUGGGCUACAGAGGAUCAAAUCAAAAUGUUUAUUUGGCAUACCCAUUGGCCAGCCUUGCACAUGAUAAAAUUGAUUGAGGAUUCAGAAAAGUCGGUAUGGGCUUCACCAAAGUAAAUAAUUUCGGUAACUCUCUGCCUUACACUGAUACUCGGCCAAAAUCAAGACUUCGUCAUCCCUUCCGCUAAAUUCAUCAACCAGAUCAUCCGAUGACCAUCGCCCAUGAGCAUCAGAAAUUGCAAAAGGAGACGAAAAAGAAAAAUCAUUUCGACCGCGACAAAUUCGAAAAGGAGAGAUGGAGAAAAAAUUGAGAUUCUAUUUUUCUUUGGGGACUGAGAGUUGAAAAAUGGAAGUAAGGUUCGGCUUUUGAUUUGGUUAAAACAGUAUAUGGGAAUAUUGACUACAGUAGUUGGGUCGAAGCAAAUUGGCCCAUGAUUUAUUCUAACAUGAGCCCACUAUAGCCAACUUAUGUG
rnacentral:lncRNA from 1 species